rnacentral:rRNA from 1 species
AUGGCGUCUAGGGCUGCGACGAUGGUGGCGCUGCUGCUCGCGGCGGUGGCGGCGACGUGCGCGCGGGCGCAGCUGCACGACAAGUCCUACAGCGAGUCGUGCCCCAGCGUGGAGGACGUCGUGAGGAAGGAGAUGGUGAGGGCGCUGUCACUGGCGCCCAGCCUCGCCGGGCCGCUCCUCCGGAUGCACUUCCACGACUGCUUCGUCAGGAGCAAGGGUCCAUUCUGGACAGUUCCUCUCGGCCGGCGAGACGGCAGCGUGUCCAUUUCCAACGAGACCGACGCUCUGCCACCCCCGACCUCCAACUUCACCGUACUCACCCAGCUCUUCGCCGCCGUGAACCUCGACGCAAAGGACCUUGUCGUCUUGUCCGCCGGGCACACCAUCGGGACGUCGCACUGCUUCUCCUUCUCCGACCGGCUCUACAACUUCACCGGCAUGGAGAACCCCAGCGACAUCGACCCCACACUGGAGCCGCAGUACAUGAUGCGGCUAAAGAGCAAGUGUGCCAGCCUCAACGACAACACCACCCUCUUGGAGAUGGACCCCGGUAGCUUCAAGACCUUCGACACCGACUACUUCAAGCUGGUGAGCAAGCGGCGGGGCCUCUUCCACUCCGACGGCGCCCUCCUCACCGACCCCUUCACCCGCGCCUACGUCCAGCUCCAUGCCACCGGGACCUUCAAGGACGAGUUCUUCGCGGACUUCGCCGCCUCCAUGAUCAAGAUGGGCAACGCCAACCCGCUCACCGGAAGCCAGGGUGAGAUCAGGAAGAAGUGCAGCGUGGUCAACCAUUAA